GAUCAACGCUGGCGGCGUGCCUCAGACAUGCAAGUCGAACGAGAAGUUCCCUUCGGGGAGCGAGUAAAGUGGCGCACGGGUGAGUAACACGUAGGUAAUCUACCUUCGGGUGGGGAAUAACCCAGGGAAACUUGGGCUAACACCGCAUAAUGCAGCGGCACCACAUGGUGACAGUUGUUAAAGCGGGGGAUUUUAGGACCUCGCGCCUGAAGAGGAGCCUGCGGCGGAUUAGCUUGUUGGAAGGUAACGGCUUACCAAGGCGACGAUCCGUAGCCGG
rnacentral:rRNA from 1 species